GGGUUGUGAGGUUAAGCGACUAAGCGUACACGGUGGAUGCCCUGGCAGUCAGAGGCGAUGAAGGACGUGCUAAUCUGCGAAAAGCGUCGGUAAGGUGAUAUGAACCGUUACAGCCGGCGAUGUCCGAAUGGGGAAACCCAGUGCAAUUCGUUGCACUAUCGUUAACUGAAUACAUAGGUUAACGAGGCGAACCGGGGGAACUGAAACAUCUAAGUACCCCGAGGAAAAGAAAUCAACCGAGAUUCCCCCAGUAGCGGCGAGCGAACGGGGAGCAGCCCAGAGUCUGAAUCAGCUUGUGUGUUAGUGGAACGGUCUGGAAAGUCCGACGGUACAGGGUGAUAGUCCCGUACACCAAAAUGCACAGGUUGUGAACUCGAAGAGUAGGGCGGGACACGUGGUAUCCUGUCUGAAUAUGGGGGGACCAUCCUCCAAGGCUAAAUACUCCUGACUGACCGAUAGUGAACCAGUACCGUGAGGGAAAGGCGAAAAGAACCCCGGCGAGGGGAGUGAAAAAGAACCUGAAACCGUGUACGUACAAGCAGUGGGAGCACCUUCGGGUGUGACUGCGUACCUUUUGUAUAAUGGGUCAGCGACUUAUAUUCUGUAGCAAGGUUAACCGUAUAGGGGAGCCGCAGGGAAACCGAGUCUUAACUGGGCGUUAAGUUGCAGGGUAUAGACCCGAAACCCGGUGAUCUAGCCAUGGGCAGGUUGAAGGUUGGGUAACACUAACUGGAGGACCGAACCGACUAAUGUUGAAAAAUUAGCGGAUGACUUGUGGCUGGGGUGAAAGGCCAAUCAAACCGGGAGAUAGCUGGUUCUCCCCGAAAGCUAUUUAGGUAGCGCCUCGUGAACUCAUCUUCGGGGUAGAGCACUGUUUCGGCUAGGGGGUCAUCCCGACUUACCAACCCGAUGCAAACUACGAAUACCGAAGAAUGUUAUCACGGGAGACACACGGCGGGUGCUAACGUCCGUCGUGAAGAGGGAAACAACCCAGACCGCCAGCUAAGGUCCCAAAGUCAUGGUUAAGUGGGAAACGAUGUGGGAAGGCACAGACAGCCUGGAUGUUGGCUUAGAAGCAGCCAUCAUUUAAAGAAAGCGUAAUAGCUCACUGGUCGAGUCGGCCUGCGCGGAAGAUGUAACGGGGCUAAACCAUGCACCGAAGCUGCGGCAGCGACACUAUGUGUUGUUGGGUAGGGGAGCGUUCUGUAAGCCUGCGAAGGUGUGCUGUGAGGCAUGCUGGAGGUAUCAGAAGUGCGAAUGCUGACAUAAGUAACGAUAAAGCGGGUGAAAAGCCCGCUCGCCGGAAGACCAAGGGUUCCUGUCCAACGUUAAUCGGGGCAGGGUGAGUCGACCCUAAGGCGAGGCCGAAAGGCGUAGUCGAUGGGAAACAGGUUAAUAUUCCUGUACUUGGUGUUACUGCGAAGGGGGGACGGAGAAGGCUAUGUUAGCCGGGCGACGGUUGUCCCGGUUUAAGCAUGUAGGCUGGUUAUCCAGGCAAAUCCGGAUAAUCAAGGCUGAGGUGUGAUGACGAGGCACUACGGUGCUGAAGUAACAAAUGCCCUGCUUCCAGGAAAAGCCUCUAAGCAUCAGGUAACAUCAAAUCGUACCCCAAACCGACACAGGUGGUCAGGUAGAGAAUACCAAGGCGCUUGAGAGAACUCGGGUGAAGGAACUAGGCAAAAUGGUGCCGUAACUUCGGGAGAAGGCACGCUGGUGUGUAGGUGAAGUCCCUGCGGAUGGAGCUGAGACCAGUCGAAGAUACCAGCUGGCUGCAACUGUUUAUUAAAAACACAGCACUGUGCAAACACGAAAGUGGACGUAUACGGUGUGACGCCUGCCCGGUGCCGGAAGGUUAAUUGAUGGGGUUAUCCGUAAGGAGAAGCUCUUGAUCGAAGCCCCGGUAAACGGCGGCCGUAACUAUAACGGUCCUAAGGUAGCGAAAUUCCUUGUCGGGUAAGUUCCGACCUGCACGAAUGGCGUAAUGAUGGCCAGGCUGUCUCCACCCGAGACUCAGUGAAAUUGAACUCGCUGUGAAGAUGCAGUGUACCCGCGGCAAGACGGAAAGACCCCGUGAACCUUUACUAUAGCUUGACACUGAACAUUGAGCCUUGAUGUGUAGGAUAGGUGGGAGGCUUUGAAGCGUGGACGCCAGUCUGCGUGGAGCCAACCUUGAAAUACCACCCUUUAAUGUUUGAUGUUCUAACGUUGGCCCCUGACCGGGGUUGCGGACAGUGUCUGGUGGGUAGUUUGACUGGGGCGGUCUCCUCCCAAAGCGUAACGGAGGAGCACGAAGGUUAGCUAAUCCUGGUCGGACAUCAGGAGGUUAGUGCAAUGGCAUAAGCUAGCUUGACUGCGAGCGUGACGGCGCGAGCAGGUGCGAAAGCAGGUCAUAGUGAUCCGGUGGUUCUGAAUGGAAGGGCCAUCGCUCAACGGAUAAAAGGUACUCCGGGGAUAACAGGCUGAUACCGCCCAAGAGUUCAUAUCGACGGCGGUGUUUGGCACCUCGAUGUCGGCUCAUCACAUCCUGGGGCUGAAGUAGGUCCCAAGGGUAUGGCUGUUCGCCAUUUAAAGUGGUACGCGAGCUGGGUUUAGAACGUCGUGAGACAGUUCGGUCCCUAUCUGCCGUGGGCGCUGGAGAAUUGAGGGGGGCUGCUCCUAGUACGAGAGGACCGGAGUGGACGCAUCACUGGUGUUCGGGUUGUCAUGCCAAUGGCACUGCCCGGUAGCUAAAUGCGGAAGAGAUAAGUGCUGAAAGCAUCUAAGCACGAAACUUGCCCCGAGAUGAGUUCUCCCUGAGACUAUAAGUCUCCUGAAGGAACGUUAAAGACGAUGACGUUGAUAGGCCGGGUGUGUAAGCGCAGCGAUGCGUUGAGCUAACCGGUACUAAUGAACCGUGAGGCUUAACCUUACAACGCCGAAG
rnacentral:rRNA from 1 species